AAGGUUUUGCAAGAGAACGCAAAGUUUCUUGGAGGAACGCAAAGUUUCUCGGAGGAACGCAAAGGUUUUCCAAGAGAACGCAAAGUUUCUUGGAGGAACGCAAAGUUUCUCGGAGGAACGCAAAGGUUUUGCGAGCGAGUGCAAAGUUUC